rnacentral:tRNA from 1 species
UGGGGUGUAGCUCAGUGGUAAAGCACUUGCCUAGCACACAUGAGCCCCUGAGUUCAAUCCCGAGCACCACAA